rnacentral:tRNA from 1 species
AGGCGGUAUGGCCAAGUGGUAAGGCAGAGGAUUGCAAAUUCUUUACCCCCAGUUCGAAUCUGGGUGCCGCCUG